GCGUAAGCUUCAGCCAUUCAUCGGAGAGCACCCAUGUUGCACAACGCCAUCACCCACAUGUGCCAGAUCACCAGCGUUUCUCGCUUGGUCGGCACUGUGUGCGCGAACAACACAGGCUCUGCUGCACGAUUUUAUUUUGGGUAUUGGUUUAGCCACUGGCGCGCCUGAUAUCCAAUCGGCGCCCACGUUUCAGGGGUCGCCUACCAGAGAAUUCUCACCCCCGGUCGGCUACCCGACCGGGGG
rnacentral:misc_RNA from 1 species